UGGGGAAUUUUGGACAAUGGGCGAAAGCCUGAUCCAGCCAUGCCGCGUGCAGGACGAAGGCCUUCGGGUUGUAAACUGCUUUUGUACGGAACGAAAAGACUCUGGUUAAUACCUGGGGUCCAUGACGGUACCGUAAGAAUAAGCACCGGCUAACUACGUGCCAGCAGCCGCGGUAAUACGUAGGGUGCAAGCGUUAAUCGGAAUUACUGGGCGUAAAGCGUGCGCAGGCGGUUAUAUAAGACAGAUGUGAAAUCCCCGGGCUCAACCUGGGAACUGCAUUUUGUGACUGUAUAGCUAGAGUACGGCAGAGGGGGGAUGGAAUUUCCGCGUGUAGCAGUGAAAUGCGUAGAUAUGCGGAGGAACACCGAUGGCGAAGGCAAUCCCCUGGGCCUGUACUGACGCUCAUGCACGAAAGCGUGGGGGAGCAAAACAGGAUUAGAUACCCCUGGUAGUCCACGCCCUAAACGAUGUCAACUGGGUUGUUGGGUCUUCACUGACUCAGUAACGAAGCUAACGCGUGAAGUUGACCGCCUGGGGGAGUACGGCCGCAAGGUUGAAACUCAAAUGAAUUGACGGGGGUCAUAGCUGGUUUCCU
rnacentral:rRNA from 1 species